CUCGAACUCACAUUAUCGGACUAAAAAGGGACUCAAAUCGCCAUCUGAUACAAACCCAAGCUGUGCAGUCAGCGACAGAAGAGACGAAACGUGGCGCGAGAUCGAUCACAGGUUGGUUGAAGAAGAUAGGAUCCCGUGAAGCUUUUACAAACAGGUUAGGGUUUUGAAAGGGGACACCUCGACGACGAUGAUCAGUAACCCCUCUCUCCCUCUACAACUUCUCGUGAGUUGUUGCCUGCAGGGGCAGGUACCAAAGAAGAGAGGCCCAUUUGUGACCGUCAGCUUUCUUCUCCUCUGAGCCUACUAGGGAGUCGUAACAUAGGCGAGGGAUCACCCUCUGCUUUUGUGCUUGGUCUAGCUCAAGCUACUUUUUUCUCUCCAAGGGUCUACAAGAAGUUCGUAGACGGAUCGCGGUUUGCUAAUCGUCAAAGGCCAUUCCUGGAUAACACACCCAGAGGACACACACCAGGAGAGUAUUUUUUUUUUAGUAAUGUUCGCGUAGUGGAACAGGUGUCUAGAGCGACGAGAUGAAGUGACAGGAGAAGGAAUUAUGAACUGUUAUUUCUGAAUCAAGAAAUUAACGUAGCUGUAGUAAUAGAAGAAUACUACGGACUAUGUGGCGAUUCAGAUGGGUCCAAUUAGAAUUAGGAUGAAUUACACUUUAUACCCUAAAAUAGAGAAAUGAUUGACUUGAUGUUCAUUCGACCCACCGGAGACGUUCUCUUUGUUUACAUUAGGAACCGUGUGAUUGAAGAAGUUUUGUUUUCAACGAUGGAAAUCUAACAUCCCCCUUAAAUUUGCGCAUCUCUAAUCCAAAUUUACUUAGCUAGUUAAGGUGCCAGUUGGUUCCAAUCCGUUUGAGUAAGGAUGUGUGGAGGAAAACGGAAUACAUGGGAUUUGCUUCACAAAUUCAAGGUGUUUCUUCUUUACGUUUUCUUUUCUUUCUUAAUUUUCGCCCCCCAAACAACCUUUGAUUUUCUCAAUUCAAUUUAUUAUAUUUUUUUUGAUGUUUUAAAGUUCUCCGUGGAAAAGCACUAUCCAUUUUCCUUUUGAAAAAAAAAAGAAUAAAAAUAAAGAGCCAGAAAGGAAAUGCAUCAUGUGGCGACAAAGGAAAAUGGAUCGUCAUGUAGCGCUUUUGGUAAACAAGUUGUACUUUCGUUGUCAAGUGACAAAGUUUAAAGAGAAAUAGUAGAAGGGCCUUAUAGUAAAAUCUUAAAUUAUAUUACCCAAAUUUAGAAAGAAAAAAUACUUUAAGGAUGCAGAUAGUCAUUUAGCCUCUGUUUUUUUCCCCAAAUUUUUUAUGUCCAAUGGCAAACCUAUUUUGAGAAUCACAAAUUUGACAUAUUUUUCACUAAAUAAAUUCCCUUUUAGGUAAAUUUUGGUAGUUAUAACUGUUAUAUUAACUUGUUAUAGUACAAACAGAUCAACAUCAUGCGGAUGAAACAAUGUCAAAUCUUGCACUUAAAAGUUCAAAUUGGGGAAAAUACAAGGAUAUUGUUGAAGAGUUGAGUUUAGGAAGUUGAACCGGUCCACGAAGCUGAACCGUGUCCAAGAACCUGAACAGUUCCAGGACGCUAACCGGUCCAGGAAGUUCGACGGUAGGGACAAUUUCCGAAGCAGAGAGAAGAAAUCCCUACCGAUCCAAUAAGCUGACCGUUCGGACUAAAGAGGCGGUUUCAGAACAUUAACCAACAGCUGUUGAAGACAUUUUUUCAAAGUCCGGUUUCAACACUCCUCGAAAACUCUAUAAAUAAGAAGAGUUGGAUAUUUUUAGGAGUUUUUAGUUUGUAAUUUGGAACAUCUCUCUCGUCUCUCUCUCUCUCUAAGUUCUCCUUAGUUUUACUUUAAUUUUAAUUUUUAGUUUUAUGCUCUUACUUCAUUUUUAGUUUAAAUUGUUACUUCUUAAAACACUGUACUGUUAAUUUUGGUCAAUUUAAAUAGACUUUCAAUCUUUCAUUACUUUCAAUCUCAAUUGUCCGCCUGGAUGGCUAGGUUUAGGUUCUUUUAUGCUUCAUUUAUUGCUUUCUUUACUGGAUUGUUAAGUAAUUCAAUUUAAAACUUUAAAUCAAGUAUAUAGUCUAAAUAGCCUUGGUUUGGUCUAAAUACAAAUUUUCAAUUCAAUCUUAGAUAACUAGUUCUUUUCUUCUCGUGCACAAACUUAAAGUUGUUUCAAAUUGAUCAUAUCAUACAAAGCUCAAACUUGAAUUGUAUAAUCAAAUUAUGUGGUUUUAUACAAGGUCUCUUGUUAUAACUAAGACUUAGAUAUUGCAUUCUAAUGGUUUGAAAUUGUAAUUACUAUCAUUUUGUCAAUUCACAAACGAAUAUUUUUAUAUACAAGAAGUAAUUUCGUUUCAAAACUUUCCAAGCAAAUUCACAUUUUAAAUCUUGAAAAUUGAUUUAGUCCAAGAGAGAAGAAAUACAACUCAGAGGGAAUUCCUAAAGGAAUGUCAAUAGGAAUCAGAGUAAGUUAAGUUUACUGGGUCAUACUGUAGCAUUUCUUGGAUCCGAGUUGUAGAACUGGUGACUGUUGUCUCAAAUACUUCAUAAAGUGUUGGAGGAGGGGCUAAAAAUCACAAAAAUCAUGUUUAACAUUUUAUUUCUUUCGGUUACCUUACAGGACAACCAAAAGACUCAAAAUCUUUCAAACCACUCUCAUGUGGAUUAACGAUCUCGACUUCCGUAUUAUGCUGGCAUGGUAGGGUUCCUACCUUGGGAACUGAAUUAAGAUAGAUACACAUACACCGAAAAGUGGCAAGCACCUAGUUUUUUUCUCCAUUUUUCUAUUUUGCCUUCUAUUUUUUUUCCCUCGACAAAAACUUGGAGAAAUUUUCAUGUCAAUGGCACCUUCAUUUUUUCUUCCCAUUUCUCUAUUCCUCCAUUAUUUCUCAAAUUUGAGAAAAAAAAUAAAAGUGUUGUGAUUAAAAAGCUGGACGAGUACUCCAACUGUCAAUGUGGUCACUACCCGCCCCGUUAUACACUGGGAGUCCCCACCACUUACAUACAGGGGUGCCCGGGAAGGUAGGGGAUUGGACUAGGGAGGCGCGAGUAUUCGAGAGUCUGUCGAUGGGUUAACGAGCUUGUUGUGUACAUCCCACAUCCACGUAAGGUCCUUUUCAAGCUGUACUAGCAGUUUAGGGAUUAGCCUAACAUUGCAGGGGACUUUUCCACAUACACUUACUUGAAUGGAAAUUUCCUGCGGAGCGAUGCUAAAUAGGAGAAGCAGAGCUUAGGCGGGGUUCACACAUUGCCUAGAAACUAUCAUCGACAUGUUCGAAAUACAAAACCAACACAGUUCUGGCCACAAACCGCACAAACCGUCACCAAACUACUUAAAUCAGUUAUACAAGUUUCAACUAUACAUAGUUUAAGCCAUAAAGUUCCUUAACUAUCACACGUACAGGGUCUAACAAAACUCAUGCAUGCUAGGUUCACCUGUCCUCAUCGUGUCCUCCCUCAUUUUCACCCCUGAAAUAAUUACUUCCCAACGUCUUAAGCACUAGCUGGUGUGGGGGAAAAGUUAGGGUUAUAUAAACCUACAUGCACCCAUUGAAAAUAUAUGAAAAUCGGUUCAAUUUAAAACAGAAAUGAAACCACUUUUGUCAAUCCAUGGCUCAACUAGGCCAUCCCUUGACUAUCAGUUCAAGAUACAAUAAAAAUCAAUCCCUCCACGGGAUUCAUGCUCAGGUACCCAUCCGUAACAUCAAAGUUUACAUCUCUAUACGAUUGACAUUUUGCCCGCACCCUAGCCGUUUCCCCAAACCACCAUACAUAGGGAGCUGACCCUAAACCUUUGGUUUAAUUCAUCCCACAAUCAUCUGGUAAUGAUCUCCUAUUACUCAACCACUCUAUAAGUUCUCGCCUCAUUCCUCCCCCUAGCGCACUGGGCUCGUAUGACUAUGUGGUCGCUUAAAACAUCCUUUCACAAAAUAAGCAUUUUCUAAUUUUCAUGGUAUAUCAAACAAAGCAUGCUUUUAAAACCAUAAAACAUAUGCAGUUUUUAACACAGCAUGCGUUGCACAUAUAAAACAGUUCCUUUAAUAUGCUAUGUAAUACAUAACAAAGACUCACGAAAUAUGCAGAUCUUCCUAUAAAACCGUGACUAACGUUCCCAUCUACUGUUCCCUGAAAUUCGGGCGGGGGGGCCCUACGAUAAUAUUCGACGAAACCAUUAGAUUUCAUUUUCUCAGUGGCUUAUAAAUUGCCAAUUUCAUAAUUUGUCAAAUUAGAUUUAUAUAAUUUCUAAUUUUCUUAGAAUUUCUUGCAUUUAUUUUCAGAAACAAACCUUAGUCUUGAUUUUAUAAAAUUCGUCAAUUCUAAUUUGAUUCCAAGACUUUUAACAUAAUAUACGAGACACAUACCUUUAUUUCUACCGUAUUUAAUUUUAUAAAUUAAUACACAGCUUUACUAUUUUUAGAAAUUGUUAAACAAUUCUAAUUUUUGCAAAAUUAGUCGUACUAGGGACCACUGUGUAGUUUAAACGUAUUUUGGGCGAUGAAAUAAUUAUUAUUAAUUCGUGAAAUUAAUAUGGUAAUUACCGGACAUAUCAAUUUAUAGCAUAAAAAAGUUAUCAGAAUUUUCUAUAAAUACGAAACUAUUUUUAUAAAUUCAUAAUAACCGCUGUCGAACACAAUUUAUGUUCCAUUUUCAAAAAGCAACCUUUAAACGGUCAAUUUUGAUUAACUUUAGAUUUUAAUUUUACAAACGUCUAAAUAAAAGUGUUAGAUAAUUUGAUAACAUUUCCAACUCAACUUACUCAAGUAAUUCGGACAAAACCGUAUGACAAAGGUUAUGAUCGAAAUCCGGUAACUGUUUCCAGUAAAAAGUUGAAUUCCCAAUUUCGACUUUGAUUUAGAAAAAAUCGUAUAAAUGGUAUUAUUUUUUGGUAUUAUUUAGCGGAUUUACAUUAACAGAUACGGUGUUCUAUAAUAAGGCUUAAUAAUAAAUAAGAUUGAGUUUGAUUUACCACUUGACGAAAAAAAAAACACACUUUUAGUCUUUCCUUUCUUCCUUCAUUUCUCCUUCUGUUACUUCCUUUCUAUGUUUCGUUGCUGUUGUGUGACUUUUGGAUGGAAAAUGGGAGAGUGCAGGGUCAGCCUUUUAUAGAUAUAGGUUUGGCUUUUUAGCGGGUUGGAUUACUCUCUUCACCACAGGGUCACACAUGCACGACUUUUCACGCACCACCCUCACCACUAGCAUGCAAUAUGCACACACACCUCAUAUCCAAACACAUUAUGGUUGGUUGGGAUGGAAAAUGGAAAGAGGUUCUGGCACUCUCCCACACAUAGCUCGUCACAUGCACACCGCCCCGCGUCGCCCCAUGUGUCCACCGUGUGUCCUACAAACGUGUCGAUUAUCGGGUUCCGUUUCCCUUCUCCCUAAUUUCAUACUUUAUUGCGAAAAAAUAAUUAAUUUCGAUUACUAAUUUUUAAUACCGCCCCUACCUUUGUCGCGGUACGUGGGUAUUACAUCCUCCCCCCUUAGAAGUUUGGGUCCCUCCAAAACUUGUCUACGUCGUAUCAUAUGUUACUACAUCAUAUCUAUGACCUCGACUCAUUCUCUAGUUAAAAAAUUAUCAUAAUAAUAAGCAUAAGGUACAGUUUACCUUGUUAAAAGAUACGGGUAUUUCUGUCCUGCAUGUCACUCCCUUCUCCCAAGUGGCUCUGCUUUCUGCUGUCGUCUGGUUCGCCCACAGACUUUGACCACACGGAAUAGUCUUAUUUCCUCAACUGUUUUACCCAGAAUCCAUGAUUCCUCACUUCGGCCUGGUUGCUCCUCCAUCGUAAAUUUCCCUCUAGUCAAUGGGUGGUUGGUCUAACAAAUGGGGUGGAUCCGCAAUGUACUUUCUUGAGCACUGAAACCUAAACACAUCAUGCACAUUUGCAAAAUCGGGGUCCACGGCUAACCGAUACGCGUACUGGUCCUAUCUUCUCCAGAAUUUCAAAUGGCCCCACAUAUCGUUGAUUCGAACUUUCCGUUCUUCCCAACUCAUAUUCCUUUCAUUGGCGAGACUUUCAAGAAUACCCAAAUCUCGCUUCUUGAAAAUCUAUACCCUCGUCGAUUUGCAUCAGCAUAACUUUUCUGCCGAUCUUGUACUACUUUCAGUCGAUCCUGAAUCACUUAUUGAUUUUCUCUGUGGUUUCCAACCAAUAACUGGCCUGUAAUUCUGUCUCUUCGUCUCUCCCCUUCUGUCCAACACGAUGGUGAUCUGCACUUCCUGCAUACAUUCUCAAAAGGUGCCAUACCAGACUCUUUUGGUAGCCAUUUUAUAAGUGAAUUCCGCUAAAGCUGGGUGUUCCUCCCAGCUUCCCUUGGAAUUCCUUGCACAUUAUCCCGUAACAGAUCCCCAACUCUGGAUUGUCCUCUCUGACUGUCAUCAUUCUGUGGGUGAAAGCUGUGCGCAAAUUCAGCUUCGUCCCCAUUGCCGUUGUAAGAUUGCCAAAUUUGACACAAACCCUCGGAUCUAUAUCCGAUGUAUUGAUAUACUGGAGCACCAUGCAAUCGCACGUCUCCCCUCAAGUAUAAGCGCCAAUUGAUCCAUAGUCCUGCGUAUUCCGAAUUGGAAUAAAGAGUGUGACUACUUGGUUUUAAACGGUCCCCUAGAAAAACAGCAAACCCAAUAGAAUUAUUUCCCUUGUCCGUACGAGGAAUCCCCAAUCACAAAAUCCAUCGUGAAUAUCCUCCAUUUCCACUUUGAUAUUGGUAGUGGUUGAAGUCAAAUCCUGCUGGUUGUUGGCGUACACUUUAAUCCGCUGACACUGCAAACAACUUACUGACAUAGAAAGGAACGGAACAAAAAGAGAAAAGAAACUCCCGUGCUGUCCCUUUUCAUACCCGAUCCAACCAGUACAUUUUUCUGCAAUCGGUACAUUUUCAAUCAUCCUGGAUGAAUAGCCCAUUCGACUUAUGUCGCUUUGUUCCAUAACUGCCGUUUGAUGUCCACCACAUCAGGCAACCAUUCGGUUUUUGAAACAUAGCACCCCCUCUAACCAUUCCUCAAUGAAUUCCUGAAUCUGUUUCGUUCCAAGUUGUCAUGAAUCUCCUUAAGUUUGGAUCCUCGCACCUGCUAACUUUAAUUUCUGGCCAAAAUUUCUGGUUCCUGCAAACAAUCGUUGCACAUAUGACCUCUAAUCCAGGAUGACUGAUUCCAACUCCAAUGCCUCCUUUAGUUGACUAUGCCAAAUAUCGUUUGCUGCUUGUAAUCAGCACUUUCAAAUUCCCGCCUUCGACUCAAUGCCUCAGCUACCCCAUUUGCCUUUUCCCGGAUGAUAGUUGAUGUUUGCUUGGUAUCAUAAUCUUUCAUCAUUUCCCAACUCUCCGUUGCCUCAAAUCAACUCCUUUUGCGUUAGAUUACGUUUAUAAGCUCGUAUGUACCGUGUAAUUUCAUUCACACUGUCACCAUACAGUAUGUCGCCAUAUCUUUAACGCAAAAAUAACGCCACGCUAAUGGUGGAACUCCAAAUCAUGAGUAGGAUGUUCCUCUCAUGUGGCUUCAAUUGCCUUGAAGCAUAUUCAAUAACUUUUCUCAUUUUGUCUCACCCACAUCCCCCCAUCCUUGAUAUGAGCAUCACUGUAAAUUGAAAUCCUCAUGCCCUCUGGCAAUGCAAGUAUUGGUGCUGAAACACCUCUUCUUCAUCUCUUGAAAACUCUGUCCCUUUUUUCCGGCCACGACAAACGGUUCCUUCUUUCUAGUUCAUUCAGUCAUAGAUACUGCUAUCUUUGAAAAGUCCCUUGAAAAACCUCCGCUAAUAUCCCCCCAGCAAGUCCCAAAGAACCUCUGACUUCAAAAACAGAAUCUAGGUUGCGGCCAAUCCAACAAUUGCCUUGGAUUUUCAUGGUACAACAGAUAUCCUCCCUCUCCGCUAUAAUGUGUCCCAGAAAUACCCACUGUCCACCAAAUUCACAUUUCUUGAAUUUGGCAUACAAUCUUUGGUCUUUCAGUUCUGUAAUCCAAUUCUUCAAGUUUCGACAUGUUUUCCUCAUCUUUUGAGUAGAUAAGGAUAUAUCAAUGAAGACGAUCACACACUCAGCCAAGUACCUUUAAAAAUUCGAUUCAUCGAAUCCAUGAACGCUGCUGUGCAUUAGUGACUCCAUGGCAUUACUAGGACAUUCAUAAUGCCCAUAAACGUGUCUUAAUGCUGUUUCUGUUCUUCCCUCAACCUCCGCGACUUCACCUUCAAACUUGCUGAUAGCCAGAACGCAAGUCAGUCUUCGCAAAUCACUUUUCCCCUUGCAACUCUGAUCAAAGAUCAUCUGUCUGUGUAUGGGUACUUGUCUUAAUUGUCACCUUAUUCCAUCUCGGUAUCUAUACACAACCUCAUCGUCCCUCUUUCUUCUUACAACAAACUGGGGGGUGCACCCCCUGUGAUAACUCGGUCUUAUAACACCCUUGUCCACACUCUUGGGCAGUUGUGACUUCAAAUUCCUUCAACGCCGCAGGAGCCAUCGUAACGGCCUUAAUUGUUUGAGUUCCAGGUCACACACUCAAUCACAACUCAAUUCCCGUAUCCACAGGUAUCCCUGUCACUCCUCAGGAAGAACUCGGAAAUUCACGACUACAGGAUUCCGCCACAUAACGACGAUUCUUUGAUAAAACAACAGCAAAUUCCAUAAUACCACCUGACAGCCCUUCCGGACUAGUCGUUGGGCACCAGCCAUAGACACAAAUAUGGAGAUUACUACGUUCUCUCCCCCUCCAUUAACUUCUUUCUGUUCUGAGUUCUUAAGGAUGAUACAUUUCUUUCUCUGGGCAAUGAAUUAUAGCCCCCCAUUCCUGGACAAACCCAAGCCAUUCCAAAUAUAACAUCAAAAUGUUUCCAUUUUCAAUGGUAUCAAUCGGAGUGAUCACUGUCUCAUCAUACAGACCUACAAUCUCGUACACACCAUUGAACACACAAUCUCCCGUUAUUCAUAGGCUGUGACACCUACUAACUCAUAGCCUAAUGGUUUCAGGUUUUCUAUUCAACUUACCUUGCAAUGUGAUGACACAAAUGUGUUGAAGAUCCAGUGUCAAACAAUACAGAAGCAGUAAAGAACAACAUCAAAGUAAAACCUGCAACCACGUCCUCGGUAGUCCUUGGCAUCUCCUGGCGUCAGUCAAAGCUCGGUCCCUGCCUUGGUUGUUCAUUUUCACCCCUGUUCCCGAAUUUCCCGCCUGCACCAAACAAUUUCUCUCCUGGACCUCCCCAUGGGUGCUAUGCCUCUGAUUCUCAGCCUUGGGCAGUUUUCUCUUAUGUUCCCACUUUCAUUGGCAAUGGAAACACCUAAUCUCAUUCCUACUUCAACUCUGUCCUUCCAGCAUACACCCCACGGUAUCUUCCACAUUUCUGGCAUACUGCACUUGCCCCUUUGAUUACUCACAAAUGCCUCGACUUCAUUCUCAGGUUCUGGCUUCUUUCUUCUGCCCACUAGUUCCCUCUGUCUUCCAAAAUUCUGUCUCCUUUUUGGUAUCAAAGUAUUUCUUUCUCUCAAUAGCAUCUUUCUGCUCCACCCAAUAAGUGCUCUAUCUCACCUCACAUAAGUCGGCAAUACAAUGGCCUAUAACCCUUUUAAGUUCCGUGCCUCCGCCCAUCCUCAAUCUGCGGGCUCGCAUCUCAUCCGUUCCACCAAGUUGUGGCGCAUAUCAGCCAAAUUGUAACGACCCCUCUGAAUCAAUCCUGCAACAAGAGUCGUUCCCAUUUGGUUCCAAAUGCCAAAUUCUGAGCAACUUAGCAUUUCACUGACCUAGGCACAAACUUCGUCUCCCUAAAUAUCACUUUGAACCGAGCCCAAUCCCUUUCUGGCUCCCUCACCCCUUAGAGUCCCCACCUACUAGCUCCUUUUUUCCCUCCCGCCAAUAGGUAAUGACCAAUUUCUUUCUACUUGUUUGCUGCUUCACCUUGAUUUUGCUGCUCCCCACAUCUAAGCAGUCUACAGUUCUUCCUUCUCAUUGCCAGUACCAAUCAUUCGCCUUGACUGUAUCCUCCCACCCUUUGAAGUUGGUUGUUUCAGUUUCAGAAACUGCCGUACUUGCAGCAAACGUUCCAUUGGUAAUGUUAGGGGGUCCCAGUUAUACGACGGCCCCUAUACUCUGAUGUUUCCCCUUGUUUGAGUUUCCCCUCUACUCAAGGUCUUAACUCCCUAGUCUCUUGGGGUUUGUGGGGGCUGAAAUGCGGCUGCAACAAUUGCUGUUAGAGCAGAUCACUGCAACUACCAGCAUCUGCACCAUGAUUCCUCACUCAAUUCAGUCAUCUGAGGAUUAUCGUUUCCACUUCCCUGGCCCCUCUCCUUCCUGCCUCACUGCGCCCCUCUAGUAUCGUUCCAUUUUCAGUCAAUCGAUAAUUAAAAGAAAACGGCCAUUAGACAUAGUUAUAGGGAUCAUACAGUAUGCAUUUCUACUCUACUAUAUGCAAGUAUAUGAACGUCUACCGUGCCUAUACCUCUCAGCUCUGAUUUACUUUAACAAAAUUCCUAACCGUUGCUGCUGAUACCACAACUGUCACGACCCGCCCCGUUAUACAAAAACUGGUCCCACCGUAAACGGUGCCACGGACCGGCCAUGUGACAUCCCAUCUCACUAAAGGCCUUUCAACUGACUCCAGUUUAGGGAUUUUACUACAUUAUUCAAACAAUUAGCCUUGAAUGAAAUUCAUGCGAAGCAUCUAAAUAAAAACAGAGCUGACUGUCAAUAUAUACAACGCUCAUCAUGGCUUCGAUACAAAAACCACAUUUCUGGCCACAAACACCGGCACAACCGUCACCCAACUACUGUUAUCAGUUAUCAAGUUUUCAACUAUACAUGUUCAACAUAAAGUCUUAAACUAUCACACAGUUACACAGGUCUAAACAAACUCAGCUGCUAUGGUCACCUGCCCUCAAUCGUGUCCUCCCUGUCUCUCCCUCAUUUGCAUCACCUGAAAUGAGUUUCGUUCUACAAGUCUUAAGCACUAGCUAGUGUAGUCAUGUUAUAUAAACAUACAUGCACCCAUUAAAAUGAUAUGAAAAAUAGGUCAUUUAAAACAAGAACUAAACACUUUUUCAAUCCAUGCUUCAACGAGGCGGCAUCCCUUGACUAUCAGUCAAGAUACAAUAGAAAAUCAAUCCCUCCACCUCACGGGAUCUCAUGGCUCAGGUACGCUCCAUACCGCAAUUUACUCGAUAUACUAUUGACAUUUGCGACAAGGGACACCUAACCGUUCAAACGAACCCCCAAACAUAGUGGAGCGACCCUACCCUUUUGGUAUAAUUCAUCCCACAAUCAUCCUGGUCAUGAUCUCCUUAUUAACAUCAACCACGCUAGAUUCUCCCCUAGCGCACGGGCAUCGUAGGACUAAGUUGUCGCUUAAACAUACUUUCACAACUAGCAUUUUCAUAUUUCAUGUAUAAAUCAAAACAACGCUCUUUUCACCAUAAAACAUAUCAGUUUUUAAACAAAAGCCAUGCUUUCACAAUAUAAAACUUUACUUUUAAUCUAUGUAAAUACAUACAAGACUCAACGCGUAAUAUGCCAAAAUCUUCCUAUCCACCGUGACUAACGUUCAAGCUACUGUCCUGAAAUUCCGGCUUAAGGCCCUACGUAUAAAUAUUCGAAUCGAACCUUGGAUUUCCCUUUUCUCGUGGCUAUAAUAUCCUAUUUCAUAUUUUGUCAAAAAAUUAGAUAAUAAAUUCGAAAUUUCUAUUGAAUUUCUUUCUUGCAUUUAAUGUUCGAAACAAACAGUAGUCUAAUGAAUUUUUAUAAAUUCGUCAAUUCUAAUUUGAAUUCCAAGAACUUUUCAUAAUAUACUAACACAUAAGACCUUUAUCUACAGUAUUAAUUUUAUAAAUUAUACACACGAUAGAAGCUGAUUACUAUUUUGAGAAAGUCGUUAACAAUUCUAUUUUUGCAAAAUAUCGGUACUGACCACUGUUUAGUUUAAAAUAUUUUGGCAUGAAAUAAUUAUUAUUAAUGCGUGAAAUUAAAUAUGGUAAUUACCGGGACAUAUAAAUUUUAGCAUAUAAAUUAAUCAGAAUUUUCUAACCACAACUAUUUUUAUGAAUUCAUAACCUCUGUUCGAACCAAUUUAUUUUCCAGUUUUCAAAAAGCCUGUAAACGUCAAUUUUGAUUAACCUUAGAGUCUGAAUUUUACAAAACGUUUCUAAAUAAAAGUUUUUAGAUAAUUUUGUACAUUCCAACUCAAUUAAAUCAAGUAAUGCGGACACACGUCUGAAACAGUUAUGAUCGAACUACGGUACCUGUUUCCAGUAAAAGUUGAAUUCCGAUUACGACUUUUGGAUUUAGAAAAAAAUACGUAUAAAUGUAAUUUUUUGGAUAGUAGCGGAUUUCAUUAACUAGAUACGUGUUCUAUAAUAAGGCUUAAAAAAUAAAUAAAGAAAAAAAAAAAAAAAAAAAGAAAGAUUAGUUUGAAUUUACCGCUUGACGAAAAAAAAAAACCCCGACCUUGAGGCCUUCUUGUCUUCCUUUCAUUCCUCAUUUCUCUUCUUUACCUUCCUUUCUAUGUUUUCGUUUCUGUGUGUGACCUUUGGACAUGGCAAAUGGGAGCGUGCAGGGUCCAGCUUUUCUAUUAGUUUUGGCUUAUUAGGCUAGGUGAUUAACUCUCUCCCUC
rnacentral:lncRNA from 1 species